GAACCGGAGCUAAUACCGGAUAAUAUAUUGAACCGCAUGGUUCAAUAGUGAAAGACGGUUUUGCUGUCACUUAUAGAUGGAUCCGCGCCGCAUUAGCUAGUUGGUAAGGUAACGGCUUACCAAGACAACGAUGCGUAGCCGACCUGAGAGGGUGAUCGGCCACACUGGAACUGAGACACGGUCCAG
rnacentral:rRNA from 1 species